rnacentral:rRNA from 1 species
GGAUGCGAUCAUACCAGCACUAAAGCACCGGAUCCCAUCAGAACUCCGAAGUUAAGCGUGCUUGGGCGAGAGUAGUACUAGGAUGGGUGACCUCAUGGGAAGUUCUCGUGUUGCAUUCC